rnacentral:lncRNA from 1 species
CACAAUGGCUGUCACUCCAUCCAUCAGAUAAGUAUUGAUCUUUAAUCACUCUCCCCUGUAAUAUUUCAAAAUAAAGUAAAUAAAAAAUUUCAAGAAAAAAAAUACGGAAAAAAGUAACCUAAAUAAGAGCGGAAAGCGCGAUUUGUUGACUGCACUUAACAAAUCUUUCCUCAGCUUGAAGAUAUAAUAUUCAAAUGUUUUCAGGCUAGACAACCAUAUCAUUCAUGACAGGCUGGAUGCAAAGACGAUGGAAUUACUAAUCCUUAAGACGGCACGACGAUUCAGCUUUAUUAUAGAAAGGUUGUUCUCCAUCACAAAUCCCCAUGAAAAAUGGCCUUUGGUAUUUUUAGUCCUACUCCACCACAGUUUACAGAUAACUGGGGAAAUUUUGCUCGCGGUAGGACCUUCAAAUGCUCAUUCUUUCACGGCAUCCGCCAUCCUUGAGUUUCUAAUUCCAAAUUCUUUGCACGCGACGAUCAUCUCGGAAUUGGAAGCUCGUCACCGAGUGAUAAUCAUUUGCAUAAUAUCUCUUACGCAAGUCAUGGUUUUGUUUUACUUUCUGCCUCCCGUCGUCAAGUUCUUACUCAGCCGUUCACCAUCACGACGGUUAGAGUAUCCUAUGGGUCUGCCGGACCCACUGUCACUCAUCGGGAUCACGACGAACAACCCUACGCGGGCUUUCUUAUACUCCAUUGGUUGGGUCUCCAACAUGGCCCAGUACUACAUCAUGAACUUGGGAAACGCGCUUAUUCUUAUCUUUUUGGACUCCUUGAAGACGGUGUUCCUCAUAUGUGGACACAGUUUAGAAACUCACGGUUGUGGUGGUAGUCUGAGUUGGCAUCAAUUUUUGAGUGCCGUCAAACUUCAUCAGCGAUUGUUCAGAUUAACUUCAAAAGUGAAGCACGUUAUCGAGCCUAUCAUUGCCGUGACCAUAAGUGGGACCGCUUCCUAUAAUGUCAUUUGUGCAUUAUCAAUUUCUCAGGGAUUCCACGCUCAAAAUAUCAAAAUGCUGGUCGGUGGUGUGGUUAUCAUUGUCGUCAGUUACGUCCUCUUUGUCGAACCGGGUUCCACUUCUCACAAAGCUGAAGAAGUAGCGGUGCGUAUUUACUUCAAUCAAAACUGGGUGGCGCACAAGUGCAAGUUGGCUCGGUACCUUCCACUCAUGAUAAUGCGAUCGCACAAACAGGUCAAAUUCCGUAUGUUUAACUGUUGGGCAAUGACGUCAGAAAAUUUGGUCAAGUACUUGCAGUUAAUGUAUAGUUUUUACGUUGUUUUGGAGUGUGUAACUUCAAAAUAUGGAAAAGACGCUCAUCCAUAAUUUUGAAGCAACUUAUCGUGAUUCAGUGUGAGUACAGCUUGAUGGAACUGAUUGCGCCGUCAAUAACGAUGACUGUUGAUCUAGAGAUGAAUCUAAAUGAAACUGACUAAAC